rnacentral:rRNA from 1 species
UACGGAGGGUGCGAGCGUUGUCCGGAAUCAUUGGGCGUAAAGGGCGCGUAGGUGGCCCGGUCAGUUCGUGGUGAAAGCGCGGGGCUCAACCCUGCGUCGGCCAUGAAUACUGCCGCGGCUGGAGCACUGUAGAGGCAGGCGGAAUUCCGGGUGUAGAGGUGAAAUUCGUAGAUAUCAGGAGGAACACCAGUGGCGAAGGCGGCUUUCUGGACGAUAACUGACGCUGAGACGCGAAAGCGUGGGGAGCAAACGGG